CCAAUUUCUCUUAGGGAUCCUAGUGUGUUGAAGGCAGCCUCUGUCUCUUCUGUAUCUCCUACUCCCACCCUCAGGGUACUCCUGUGCUUGGGAGAGAGCAGCCUCUCGUAGCUGCACCCACACCACUCAAGUCUUCAUCUGUGUGGCAGGUAAGAGAUCCUACACAGACUUGAACUGCAUUGCCUCAUGGUCUUACCCGCUAUUUGUUCUGGAUGUGUACGCGGCAUUCACCCUCUCCUGGUCUCCACUUGCACCGCACCAGGCAGACAUGCAUGCAGAGCCACCCUGAAAUAUGAGAUGGCCUCCAAACCUUCACAGACCAUUCAUGUACAGGAGUACAGGGUCAUGCCAGCCACCUAGCUGAUGGAUGAGCUGUGGGCCCAGGG